CAAAAGGACACCCCCCAGUGGCAUUGUCACCCCCACAUUGGCAUUGUCACCCCUCCGACAUUGGCAUUGUCACCCCCACAUUGGUAUUGUCACCAGUUGGGGACCAAAGGACACCCCCAUUGUCAUUGUCACCCCCCCAUUGGCAUUGUCACCACCGACAUUGGCAUUGUCACCAGUUGGGGACAAGGGGACAGCCACGUUGGCAUUGUCACCCCCACAUUGGCACUGGUGACAGUGACAAAGGACGCCCCAUUGGCAUUGUCACCCCCACAUUGGCAUUGUCACCCCAACAUUGGCAUUGUCACCAGUUGGGGACAAAAGGACACCCCCCAUUGGCAUUGUCACCCCCCCCAUUGUCAUUGUCACCCCCCGACAUUGGCAUUGUCACAGUCCAGGGACAGAGGGACACCCCCAUUGGCAUUGUCACCCCCACAUUGGCAUUGUCACCAGUUGGGGACAAAGGGACACCCCCCAUUGGCAUUGUCACCCCCCAACAUUGGCACUGGUGACAGUGACAAAAGGACACUCCCACUGGCAUUGUCACCCCGACAUUGGCAUUGUCACCACCCACAUUGGCAUUGUCACCAGUUGGGGACAAGGGGACAGCCACGUUGGCAUUGUCACCCCCACAUUGGCACUGGUGACAGUGACAAAGGGCCCCCAUUGGCAUUGUCACCCCCACAUUGGCAUUGUCACCCCAACAUUGGCAUUGUCACCAGUUGGGGACAAAGGGACACCCCCCAUUGGCAUUGUCACCCCCCAUUGUCAUUGUCACCCCCCGACAUUGGCAUUGUCACAGUCCAGGGACAGAGGGACACCCCCAUUGGCAUUGUCACCAGCUGGGGACAAAGGGGACAGCCACGUUGGCAUUGUCACCCCCACAUUGGCAUUGUCACCACCCACACUGGCAUUGUCACCAGUUGGGGACAGCCACGUUGGCAUUGUCACCCCCACAUUGGCACUGGUGACAGUGACAACAGGACACCCCCAUUGGCAUUGUCACCCCCCCAUUGGCAUUGUCACCCCCUCAUUGGCACUGUCACCAGUUGGGGACAAAGGGACGCCCCCCAUUGGCAUUGUCACCCCCCCAUUGGCAUUGUCACCCCGACAUUGGCAUUGUCACCAGUUGGGGACAAAGGGGACAGCCACGUUGGCAUUGUCACCCCCACAUUGGCACUGGUGACAGUGACAAAAGGACAGCCCCAUUGGCAUUGUCACCCCCACAUUGGCAUUGUCACCAGUUGGGGACAAAAGGACACCCCCAUUGGCAUUGUCACCCCCCAUUGGCAUUGUCACCCCCCGACAUUGGCAUUGUCACAGUCCAGGGACAGAGGGACACCCCCCAUUGGCAUUGUCACCAGCUGGGGACAAAGGGACAUCCUGUUUGCAUUGUCACUCCCCAAAAUUGGCACAGGUGACAGUGACAAAGGGACACCCCCCAUUGUCAUUGUCACCCACCCCCCAUUGUCAUUGUCACAGUCCAGGGACAAAGGGACACCCCCCCAGUGUCACUGCCACCCCCCGUGUCCCCCCCCCCACUGUCACCGUGUCACUGUCACCUUUGGGGACAGAAGUCCAUCGGGGCGCGGAUCAGCCACAGCUCCGCUUGGGGACCCCCCAUGGGGACCCCCCCGGGCGCGGCCUCGAACUCGGGGGGACAGCGGAACCGGGGGGGUGGCCCUGGGGACACAGCGGGCGGUGUCACCUCAGCGGGUGGCCCUGGGGACACGCCAGGUCCCCUCUGCGUCCCCCUGACCCCUCAAUGUCCCCAGUGUCCCCCAGACCCACCAAUGUCCCCCCCAGACCCCUCCAUGUCCCCGUGUCCCCCCGAUGUCCCCAGUGUCCCCUCCGUGUCCCCAAUGUCCCCCCAAUGUCCCCGCGUGUCCCCCCGAUGUCCCCAAUGUCCCCUCCGUGUCCCCAAUGUCCCCCCAAUGUCCCCGCGUGUCCCCCCGUCCUCUCAAUGUCCCCAAUCUCCCGCCACACACCCGCGCCCCCAUCAUCCCCAGACCCCGCAAUGUCCCCGAAAUCCCCACAGUGUCCCCAAAGCCCCCCCCAAUGUCCCCAAAGUGUCCCCAAAGCCCCCCCAUGUCCCCACGUGUCCCCCCGCCCAUCCCCAUCCCCGCCAUGUCCCCAUGUCCCCAAUCUCCCGCCACAUCCCCGCCUCCCCCAAUGUCCCCAAUGUCUCCUCCAUGUCCUAAAUGUCCCCAAAGCCCCCCCAAUGUCCCCAAAUGUCCCCAAAUGUCCCCCCUGUCCCCCCCUCACCCUCCAUGCCGCCGCCUCGUGCCCGCCUGGCUCCGCCCCCGUCCCGCCGCGCACUUGGUACAGUCCU
rnacentral:lncRNA from 14 species